AUGGGGAAAUUGGAGGAGAGUGAUAUGAGGGACUUGCUGGUUUGGUGCAUGAGGCACGACAUUCGCCCGACGGAGCGUGUCAGGGAUUUAAUGGCACCGGGGUCAGCUCUCCAUACUCAUCCUGAGGUACGAGCGAGGGGUCUGGUGAAGACUGUGCCAGCCUCACGCACCAGGCCUCCUGUGCAUCUCCCUAGCCUUGCACGUCCUGUGCCAUCUCAGCACUACAGUGCUCCUAGCAGUGCUAACUGUGGCGGGCGUGGUGAUGGUCAGGCACCGUGUUAUGCAGUUGUGCGCACGGUGUCCCCAGUACGCGUGCUUAGCCCGGUGCGCUACAUCCCAGCUCCCCACAUCUGCCGGGCUAGGGUGAAGAUCCAGCCAGGGCGGUUGGUGCCAGCCCUGCCCUCAAGAUCUCCAGUACGCCUUCACGGUCCGGUCUAUCCGUCACCACCUCCACGCACCAGCCCUCCGGUGGCAGCCCCCCGUACCAGGCUGUCUCUCCGGCCCAUCCUUACAGGGGCUCCCUCUCCAGCGCUGCCGGAGCCUCCCGCCUGUCUGGCGCCUCUGCCGGAGCCUCCCGCCUGUCCGGCGCCUCUGCCGGAGCCUCCCGCCUGUCCGGCGCCUCUGCCGGAGCCUCCCGCCUGUCCGGCGCCUCUGCCGGAGCCUCCCGCCUGGCCGGCGCCGCUGCCGGAGCCUCCCGCCUGGCCGGCGCCGCUGCCGGAGCCUCCCGCCUGGCCGGCGCCGCUGCCGGAGCCUCCCGCCUGUCCGGCGCCGCUGCCGGAGUCUCCCGCCUCUCCGGCGCUACCAGGGCCUUCCUUUUCUCCAGCGUUGCCGGAGCUUCCCGUCUGCCCAGCGCCAGCUGAGCUUCCCGUCUGCCCAGCGCCAGCUGAGCUUCCCGUCUGCCCAGCGCCAGCUGAGCUUCCCGUCUGCCCAGCGCCAGCUGAGCUUCCCGUCUGCCCAGCGCCAGCUGAGCUUCCCGUCUGCCCAGCGCCAGCUGAGCUUCCCGUCUGCCCAGCGCCAGCUGAGCUUCCCGUCUGCCCAGCGCCAGCUGAGCCUCCCGUCUGCCCAGCGCCGCCAGCGCCGCCCGUCUGCCCAGCGCCGCCCGUCUGCCCAGCGCCGCCAGCGCCGCCCGUCUGCCAGGAGCCGCCAGUGCCGCCCGUCUAG
rnacentral:lncRNA from 1 species